AGGAGUCUGGAUGCAGGAAUGGCACUGGGCAGGAGGUGAUAGGUUAUGUGCCUCUGUAGAUAUCUGGAUGCUCCCUGCCUCCAUUUCUCAGAGGAAGCCUGAGAGAAACAAGCACUGCUGACCUGCUGGCACCAGCAACAGGAAGAGCAGCCCUGUGUUUCCCUGCCCCAGCAGUGCACCUGUUCCUGGGGGCUGGAAGCAGUGUUGCUAUUAAUUGGCUGAAGUUGCCCUAUAAAACUUGAGCUUUAAGACUCAGAAACCUGAUAGCAGCUUGGAGUUCCCUUGGAAAUCACCAGAUGUGGCCCAAGAGCACCUAAAAGGAAGAGAGUGCCUGUAGGCUGCUGGGAGAUGGCUGGAGGAGAGGUGCCAGGUUGUAAAAUACAUGAGCAGACGCAAAGCAACCGAAGGUGCCCACUGUUGCCCUGUUGGAGAAUGAGUGUGGAUCCAGGCAUGGAAGCAGCUGUUCUGGAGUUGCUGCAGAAGUUCUGCCUGGGCUUGAGUGCUCAAGUGAAACCCCUCACUGCCUGCUGAGCUCCACACUUGUUGUAAUGAUCUAACCUUAGACCAGGGCCCUGACUUUGUGCUCAUGGCUAUACGUUCAGCAGUGUCAAGUUGUUUACUCAGGUGCUGGCUGUUUUUAAGUAAGCAAGCAUAUAGAGAGAGUAUAACUAAGAGCAUAGGUUGCCCUCUACCUGUAUAUAUUUUCCAACUCCUUUGCCAGAGCACCUCAAAGACAUAUUCCCUAAACCCAGUAAAAUCCCAAGGAAGCACAGGGCCAAACCCCACUACCCCAGAGGCUGCCUGACCUGGUCUCUGGCUAUGACCAUUCUUUGAACUGGAGGGCACUUGUUUGCAUCCCUACCACUAUUAUACCAAAAGGAUCCUUUCCACAGUCAGAGGAUUAAGCCCUGCUCUGGUUUAAGGUCUCCUGCUCUCCCUGUCUGCAUUAAGCCAUCUGGUCUGUGUGCCACUGACCUUUGUCAGCUCGCAUUAAUUUGCAGGGGUUGAUGAAAGAGUUCCAAGCUGCAGAGCUAUGAGUCACUGUUAGGAGCUAGAUGGGUAACGAAAAAGCUGUUCCAUUUUGUUUUGAAUUCCAGAUCUUCGCAAAUAAAUCUGUUUGGAUC
rnacentral:lncRNA from 7 species